GUCACCUGAGGAAUGCCAGCGCAGGGAGUCAUGGUCUUUUUCAAAACUCGUGGAACCCUGGCGUUCACCAUGCCAGAAAUUCGUUUCCAGUCCCAUGUGCUUGAAAAGCAGUUCCCGAGGGAAGUGACUUUGGGAGUGGACCUCAAAUGCAGCCCCUCCUUACGCAGGGGAGGAAGACUGAUGGAAAUGGAACUGGACAGUUCAGACAAAUCUCAAGCCGGCUGUGAAACGCUCCUGAGAUCUUCCGAACUUGGUGAGCAUGAGAGACUCACCGCAACCUACCCAGAAAACGCCAGGCUAUUUAACAAGUAGUUUAGAUGCUGCCUCCGAAAGUUGAACCCUUUAUGUCUUUUUAACGGAUUUUUCAUUUCUUGAUAAAUAAUUGAAAUGUGUUAAAAAUUUAUUC